UACGUAGGGGGCUAGCGUUGUCCGGAUUUAUUGGGCGUAAAGAGCGUGUAGGCGGUCAGUUAGGUCUGCUGUGAAAACUCGAGGCUUAACCUCGAGAUGUCGGCGGAAACCAUCUGGCUAGAGUCCGGAAGAGGAGAGUGGAAUUCCUGGUGUAGCGGUGAAAUGCGCAGAUAUCAGGAAGAACACCCGUGGCGAAGGCGGCUCUCUGGGACGGUACUGACGCUGAGACGCGAAAGCGUGGGGAGCGAACAGG
rnacentral:rRNA from 1 species